rnacentral:rRNA from 1 species
AUUGAACGCUGGCGGCAUGCUUUACACAUGCAAGUCGAACGGUAACAGGCCGCAAGGUGCUGACGAGUGGCGAACGGGUGAGUAAUGCAUCGGAACGUGCCCAGUCGUGGGGGAUAACUACUCGAAAGAGUAGCUAAUACCGCAUACGAUCUAUGGAUGAAAGCGGGGGACCGUAAGGCCUCGCGCGAUUGGAGCGGCCGAUGUCAGAUUAGGUAGUUGGUGGGGUAAAGGCUCACCAAGCCAACGAUCUGUAGCUGGUCUGAGAGGACGACCAGCCACACUGGGACUGAGACACGGCCCAGACUCCUACGGGAGGCAGCAGUGGGGAAUUUUGGACAAUGGGCGCAAGCCUGAUCCAGCAAUGCCGCGUGCAGGAAGAAGGCCUUCGGGUUGUAAAGUGCUUUUGUACGGAACGAAACGGCUCUGGUUAAUACCCGGGGCUAAUGACGGUACCGUAAGAAUAAGCACCGGCUAACUACGUG